rnacentral:sRNA from 1 species
GGUGUUUAAGAUAGAAGUGCUAAUGAAUGGAAGAAAACAUUUUGUUGAAAAGAGAUACAGCGAAUUUCAUGCUUUGCACAAAAAGCUUAAGAAAUGUAUAAAAACUCCAGAAAUCCCUUCUAAACAUGUUAGGAACUGGGUCCCCAAAGUCUUGGAACAGCGACGACAAGGCUUGGAAACAUACUUACAGGCUGUCAUUUUAGAAAAUGAAGAACUUCCCAAACUGUUUCUUGAUUUCCUAAAUGUGCGACACUUGCCCUCUCUACCAAAGGCAGAAAGUUGUGGAUCUUUUGAUGAAACAGAGUCUGAAGAGUCAAGCAAACUGUCCCACCAGCCUGUGCUGCUGUUCCUCAGGGAUCCAUACAUCUUGCCUGCAGCCAGCGAUGACAUCUUUAUAUUUGGCUUAAAAGAAAGAAGACCCAGUUUAAAGGAAAUAAAAUUGAGACAUACCUCUCCUGUUGCUAGAGCAACAAAAUUUUCCACUGUCUUGGGCACAACUU